GAUGAAGAACGUAGCGAAAUGCGAUAAGUAAUGUGAAUUGCAGAAUUCAGUGAAUCAUCGAAUCUUUGAACGCACAUUGCGCCCGCCAGCAUUCUGGCGGGCAUGCCUGUUCGAGCGUCAUUUCAACCCUCAAGCUCUGCUUGGUGUUGGGGCCCUACGGUUGACGUAGGCCCUUAAAGGUAGUGGCGGACCCUCUCGGAGCCUCCUUUGCGUAGUAACUAACGUCUCGCAUUGGGAUUCAGAGGGACUCUUGCCGUAAAACCCCCAAAUUUUCUAAUGGUUGACCUCGGAUCAGGUAGGAAUACCCGCUGAACUUAAGCAUAUCAAUAAGCGGAGGA
rnacentral:misc_RNA from 1 species